GGGGGCGUUUGGUUUUGACAGCGUAGCUCUUUGGAAGUGUAAGCAUGUACUGCGUUGCGUAAUUAGCAGUUGAAUCUGAAUACGAAAACUAUAAAUGGCAAUACACAGUAUGCCAUGGCUGCCUAAUCAGUGAUUAAGUAGUCAUUAGGGCCGCCGGGCCGGUUGACCAGUUACCAAGCCCCGCCGCCGACUCAAAAACAAAACAGGUUGCUGCAACCCCAGGCUGUGCCGGUUGCUUAAGCCUAUCCAGCUACGGAAUGAAUCGGUUGUUUGUUUCCAGUUCAUUCCCGACAAUCCAAAACAAAAUAAACAUGUAGAAAGCUUUUGAAGAAUAUGUUUGGACACCGGUUCGAUCCCGGUCGCCUCCACGA
rnacentral:tmRNA from 1 species